rnacentral:rRNA from 1 species
GAUGAACGCUGGCGGCGUGCCUAAUACAUGCAAGUCGAGCGAACGGACGAGAAGCUUGCUUCUCUGAUGUUAGCGGCGGACGGGUGAGUAACACGUGGAUAACCUACCUAUAAGACUUGGAUAACUUCGGGAAACCGGAGCUACUACCGGAUAAUAUUUUGAACCGCAUGGUUCAAAAGUGAAAGACGGUCUUGCUGUCACUUAUAGAUGGAUCUGCGCUGCAUUAGCUAGUUGGUAAGGUAACGGCUUACCAAGGCAACGAUGCAUAGCCGACCUGAGAGGGUGAUCGGCCACACUGGAACUGAGACACGGUCCAGACUCCUACGGGAGGCAGCAGUAGGGAAUCUUCCGCAAUGGGCGAAAGCCUGACGGAGCAACGCCGCGUGAGUGAUGAAGGUCUUCGGAUCGUAAAACUCUGUUAUUAGGGAAGAACAGAUGUGUAAGUAACUGUGCACAUCUUGACGGUACCUAAUCAGAAAGCCACGGCUAACUACGUG